GAGAAAGAAAGUGUGUGAGUGUGAAGGAGAGAAGCAGCAGCGCAGUGACUGACCUGUUGGAGACACUCACUGAGCACAGACCUGGGGGAACAGGACAGCACCGAGGGACA